rnacentral:rRNA from 1 species
AGCGAACGCUGGCGGCAGGCCUAACACAUGCAAGUCGAGCGCCCAGCAAUGGGAGCGGCAGACGGGUGAGUAACGCGUGGGGAUCUGCCCGAUGGUACGGAAUAAUUCCGGGAAACUGGGACUAAUACCGUAUGUGCCCGUAAGGGGAAAGAUUUAUCGCCAUCGGAUGAACCCGCGUCGGAUUAGCUAGUUGGUGUGGUAAAGGCGCACCAAGGCGACGAUCCGUAGCUGGUCUGAGAGGAUGAUCAGCCACACUGGGACUGAGACACGGCCCAGACUCCUACGGGAGGCAGCAGUGGGGAAUAUUGGACAAUGGGCGCAAGCCUGAUCCAGCCAUGCCGCGUGAGUGAUGAAGGCCUUAGGGUUGUAAAGCUCUUUCGCCGGUGAAGAUAAUGACGGUAACCGGAGAAGAAGCCCCGGCUAACUUCGUGCCAGCCGCCGCGGUAAAAC